rnacentral:piRNA from 1 species
UAACCUUGGGGUCUGUGGUCUUUUUUGUG